GACAUAGGUUGCGAACGUUAUCCGGAAUUAUUGGGCGUAAAGGGUGCGUAGGCGGCCCUGUAAGUCAGUGCUGAAAUAUCCCAGCUUAACUGGGAGGGUGGCAUUGAUACUGCGGGGCUAGAGUACAGAUGAGGUAGGCGGAAUUGACGGUGUAGCGGUGAAAUGCUUAGAUAUCGUCAAGAACACCUAUAGCGAAGGCAGCUUACUAGGCUGUAACUGACGCUGAGGCACGAAAGUGUGGGGAUCAAACAGG
rnacentral:rRNA from 1 species